rnacentral:rRNA from 1 species
CAAUAGCGUAUAUUAAAGUUGUUGCGGUUAAAAAGCUCGUAGUUGGAUUUCUGUUGGGAACGACCGGUCCGCCCAUUGGGUGUGUAUCUGGCUUGUUCUCGGCAUCUUCUUGGUGAACGUUGCUGCACUUGACUGUGUGGAGCGCUACCCAGGACUUUUACUUUGAGGAAAUUAGAGUGUUUCAAGCAGGCAUAUGCCUUGAAUACAUUAGCAUGGAAUAAUAAGAUAGGACCUCGGUUCUAUUUUGUUGGUUUCUAGAGCUGAGGUAAUGAUUAAUAGGGAUAGUUGGGGGCAUUCGUAUUUAACUGUCAGAGGUGAAAUUCUUGGAUUUAUUAAAGACGGACUACUGCGAAAGCAUUUGCCAAGGAUGUUUUCAUUGA